AUUGAACGCUGGCGGCAGGCUUAACACAUGCAAGUCGAGCGGGGAGAUGUAGCUUGCUACAUAUCCUAGCGGCGGACGGGUGAGUAAUGCUUAGGAAUCUGCCUAUUAGUGGGGGACAACAUUCCGAAAGGAAUGCUAAUACCGCAUACGCCCUACGGGGGAAAGCAGGGGAUCUUCGGACCUUGCGCUAAUAGAUGAGCCUAAGUCGGAUUAGCUAGUUGGUGGGGUAAAGGCCUACCAAGGCGACGAUCUGUAGCGGGUCUGAGAGGAUGAUCCGCCACACUGGGACUGAGACACGGCCCAGACUCCUACGGGAGGCAGCAGUGGGGAAUAUUGGACAAUGGGCGCAAGCCUGAUCCAGCCAUGCCGCGUGUGUGAAGAAGGCCUUUUGGUUGUAAAGCACUUUAAGCGAGGAGGAGGCUCCUUUAGUUAAUACCUAAAGUGAGUGGACGUUACUCGCAGAAUAAGCACCGGCUAACUCUGUGCCAGCAGCCGCGGUAAUACAGAGGGUGCGAGCGUUAAUCGGAUUUACUGGGCGUAAAGCGUGCGUAGGCGGCUUUUUAAGUCGGAUGUGAAAUCCCUGAGCUUAACUUAGGAAUUGCAUUCGAUACUGGAAAGCUAGAGUAUGGGAGAGGAUGGUAGAAUUCCAGGUGUAGCGGUGAAAUGCGUAGAGAUCUGGAGGAAUACC
rnacentral:rRNA from 1 species